AGUAUUACGCCGGAUGAACGGAAAUCAUUGAUGUUGAUUAAUAUGUGGCUAAAGCCUCUGAUACUA
rnacentral:tRNA from 1 species